UACGGUGGCAGCAUGGGUGGUGGCCGCUACGGCGGCGGUGACUUCAAUGAUGGCUACAACAACUUCGGAACUGGUUACAGUUACGGAAAUGGCGGCGGACCAACUCGUGGUGGUGGUGGUGGUUUCAACAGAGGUAGCGGCCCUUAUGGUAGUGGCUACGGUAGUGGCAGUAUGAGUGGUAGCAACUAUCGGCGGUAAUUUGCUUUUCUAAACGAACACAACCUUCAUCACCAGCAAUAUCACAUAAGCCUCUCCCACCAGAGGAAAAAUAUAGAGAAAAUCAAAUUCCACAUCUUCCAUCAUCAAUAGCAACAUCCAACAGCAGCCAAGCCAUCUCCUUCAUCCACCUACAUCUGUAACACAAAGCUGCAACACAUCGGGACUUCUACGGCCAGAAUAAUUGUACCUGCCAAAAAAAGAACAAA